CCUACGGGAGGCAGCAGUGAGGAAUAUUGGUCAAUGGGCGCUAGCCUGAACCAGCCAAGUAGCGUGAAGGAUGACUGCCCUACGGGUUGUAAACUUCUUUUAUAUGGGAAUAAAGUGCGGUAUGUAUACCUUUUUGCAUGUACUUUAUGAAUAAGGAUCGGCUAACUCCGUGCCAGCAGCCGCGGUAAUACGGAGGAUCCGAGCGUUAUCCGGAUUUAUUGGGUUUAAAGGGAGCGUAGACGGGUUGUUAAGUCAGUUGUGAAAGUUUGCGGCUCAACCGUAAAAUUGCAGUUGAUACUGGCAGCCUUGAGUACAGUAGAGGUAGGCGGAAUUCGUGGUGUAGCGGUGAAAUGCUUAGAUAUCACGAAGAACUCCGAUUGCGAAGGCAGCCUACUAGACUGUAACUGACACUGAUGCUCGAAAGUGUGGGUAUCAAACAGGAUUAGAUACCCGGGUAGUC
rnacentral:rRNA from 1 species